rnacentral:rRNA from 1 species
UACGGAGGGGACUAGCGUUGUUCGGAAUUACUGGGCGUAAAGCGCACGUAGGCGGAUUUGUAAGUCAGGGGUGAGAUCCCGGGGCUCAACCUCGGAACUGCCUUUGAUACUGCAAAUCUCGAGUCCGGAAGAGGUGAGUGGAAUUCCUAGUGUAGAGGUGAAAUUCGUAGAUAUUAGGAAGAACACCAGUGGCGAAGGCGGCUCACUGGUCCGGUACUGACGCUGAGGUGCGAAAGCGUGGGGAGCAAACAGG